rnacentral:lncRNA from 1 species
AACAACACACCAAAGUGAAUCCAAUCUCUUCACGAGGGAAGAGCAGAAAUGGAGCAACGGAUCGGAGAAACUAUAGCCGCACCUGGGGCGGUCGCCAGGAGGGCCGGAGCCAAACGGGCGAGCCGGUGGCCUCGCGGACUUCUUCAGGGUUGCGGGGACUAUCUCCGAAGGAAGGUUAAGGUAAGUUCUAAGGUACUCAAUCCCAUCGUUGGUCAGGUACCAGUAGUAGUGCUGCCACGCGAAGGUCUCCCUCACGUACUCCCUCGACUUGAAGCUCUGCAUCAGCUUGA